CCUACGGGCGGCAGCAGUGAGGAAUAUUGGUCAAUGGACGAGAGUCUGAACCAGCCAAGUAGCGUGCAGGAUGACUGCCCUAUGGGUUGUAAACUUCUUUUAUAUGGGAAUAAAACGUUCCACGUGUGGGAUUUUGUAUGUACCAUAUGAAUAAGGCUCGGCUAACUCCGUGCCAGCUGCCGCGGUAAUAAGGAGGAUCCGAGCGUUAUCCGGAUUUAUUGGGUUUAAAGGGAGCGUAUGUGGAUUGUUAAGUCAGUUGUGAAAGUUUGCGGCACAACCGUACAAUUGCAGUUGAAACUGGCAGUCUUGAGUACAGUAGAGGUGGGCGGAAUUCGUGGUGUAGCGGUGAAAUGCUGAGAUAUCACGAAGAACUCCGAUUGCGAAGGCAGUUCACUGGACUGCAACUGACACUGAGGCUCGAAAGUGUGGGUAUCAAACAGGAUUAGAUACCCCAGUAGUC
rnacentral:rRNA from 1 species